rnacentral:rRNA from 1 species
UACAGAGGAUGCAAGCGUUAUCCGGAAUUAUUGGGCGUAAAGAGCUUGUAGGCGGUUUGUCGCGUCUGCUGUGAAAAUCCGGGGCUCAACCCCGGACUUGCAGUGGGUACGGGCAGACUAGAGUGUGGUAGGGGAGACUGGAAUUCCUGGUGUAGCGGUGAAAUGCGCAGAUAUCAGGAGGAACACCGAUGGCGAAGGCAGGUCUCUGGGCCACUACUGACGCUGAGAAGCGAAAGCAUGGGGAGCGAACAGG